rnacentral:lncRNA from 1 species
CAUAAGAAUUAUUUUGAGAAAAUUUUGGAGGACUUACCAUUGUUGUUCAAAGUCAGGGUUUGUAUUAGUGAUUUGGGUUUUAUAUAAUAUAAUUAAAGCUAGCAAUUUUGGCUAGUUCGUGCAAUUGGUGUAACAUCUACAGUUGAAAAUUUGAUGUUGUUUGAAUUAUUGAGUGUACUAAGUGUAUACAAAUUUUUGUGAUAAUCUAACGGCAUGGUUUAGAAAUAUCUAGUUUUGAGCACAAGAGGGUUUCAGAAGGUGGCAGUUUGAGGUCAGGUAGGAUUUCUAUGA